CAAGCAUGCUGCAAGGCACUAAUCCCUAAUCCAACACAAGUAUACGGACCUCUCUUGACUCCGCAGCUUGGUACUGAAGAGCAGGGAGGGCUGAAGAAAAGGAGAAAGCCAUUUCUUGAAGUAAGGAACAGGAUACUCAACAGUCCCCAAGCACCAGUGGACAAGUGAGGCUUAUAUUUGAUGCAGAAUGUCUCCAAGCACACCACAAUAGCAACAGAAGAGCCAACAGUUAUAUGUGUAUUACAAACACAUGGCACUUGCCUGGCCUUCUCCAGCUGGAGACUCAUCCUGGGGUCUAUGGGGGAGAAAAAGAAAGAUAUCUGAAAUCUUAAAUAGGCAAAGCAAGAUUUAUGAGUGAACAGAUUCACUUCCAAGAUGAAACAGAAAAACAUCUGCAAGAUGAGAAUUUACUUGCGUUAUUAGUGCUAUUCUUUCUGCACUGAUGAGUAGUAGAGAUAAUCCCAUCCAUUACAGACGUCCGUAACUUUGCUAGCAGACAUUCUAACUCCUUGGAGAUGCCAGCACAGAUCCUGCACCACUGCAACAACUCAAAAUAAAAAACAAUAGAAUAAAAAUAGACAAUGAUGUACUUCAGGACAGCAUUCAGCAUAGUUCAUAGAUCAUUACUGCCAGCGAUUUGUUUUGAUCUCAUUUAUGCUGCCUUUACGCAGACGUAAUUAAAGGGAUAUAAGAAUCCUUGAAAUGAAUGGAUUCUAGUAGUGAGUGUGGUUAUAUCAGAAAAAAACCUUCUCUGUAGUGUGUAAGUGUUUUUCAGCAUGGUGAACCCAAUGAUCCAAUAACUUUUACUGACUUUUUUCAGAGGGGCUUUCCAAUCAUAAAAUGCUUUUCCAUCAAAACUGAGAUUUUAAAAAAAUUUAGUUUGAUAAAAACAGGCUCAAAUUCAGGGGGAAUGUUUCACUAAGAACUCUGGUUUUAUUUUGCUUCAGUUCAAUUUCUUCAGACCAUUUCAUCUUUAACCGUACAAUUUACAAUAUGUGUGUACGAUUUAAAAUAUGUCUGCUUUUCUUAUAACAUUCUGGCAUGAUCAAAGUGGAAUAUUUUAAAGUGGCCAUUUUGCAGUCUUAAAAACAAAACAUUUUUAAAAUGAAAUUCCAAUGUCACAGCUUUGACCUUUGUCCCCAUUCAAAGUGAAAACCAUUCCUGUACGUCAGAGUUCCCUGCAGGACUGGGUGACUGUGUCCGUACAGCAAGCAAAGCCCCACCUAUCAUUCUCAGCAACUGAACUCCUGGUUGCUUUGAAAACAGGACUGGUAUACUUUCAGGAGGAGAAUUAAACAAAGUUAAAGUCAUCAAUAAUUUACAAGUUGUUUAUAGACCAGAAACACCUUCUAUGUGUUAAUUAACAUCUCUUUCUUGGGAAAAAAAAAAAAAAAAUCUAUCAUACGAUAGGAUUACAGAAUCAUUAGGUUAGAAAAGACCUCUAAGCUCAUACAGAAGUCCAACCACCACCAGCCCACUCCCACCAUGCCCACUGACCACAUCCCUCAUCUCCACAGCUCUUGAACACUUCCAGGGAUGGAACACUUCCCUGAGCAGCCUGUGCCAAUACUGGCACUUGGCAAAGUACCAUGUUCUGCAGCAGCAGAAGAGUGCACUGCGCCUGCUGGCUAGUGGAAAUGGUGAACACUGACUUCCAAGGGUAGGUCUACAAAUGUAUGAGAGGAGGAUUUUGAAAAAGGCUGGAACAACAAAGCCAAGCAGCACUGUUUCAGACCAGUGCCAUGAACUGUUACUUAAUGCUCAGCUAUGUUUCCUUUACAGAUGUUCUGAUGAGGUCAGGGUAACAUGUACAUGUGAGUCAUCCCCAUAUCAUGCCUAAGAAUAUUUAUUAGCACUGUGUAUGUACCUAGGGAUUUCACAAACAAAAUGUCAGGUCAUUUUUUUUUUUUGUAGAGAUGGAUAGAGAAGUGUAAGAAUGAAUUUUACACUUGGAAGCAUUUUUCAGCCUCAAAACCAAGCUGACUUGGGACCAAAAAGAGAAAAUUUCCCCAGCUUGACCGCAAGCAGACUCCAUCCUGGCACUGCCAUAGUCAUCUAUCAUCAGAAAUAAAUGUUUUUUCCAUUCCCCAUAGCAAGAGGCCUUUUUAGUGCUCUGUAAUCAUUAAUGGCCAAGCCUGGAUGGAAUGCAUUUGGGCUCUCCACACUUCACAGUGUCCCACAGAGCCCUGGGCUUGCUGGGGAAGACUUCUUCCCACCUGCCUGGGCCGUGCCACUGCUGGUGGUGAGGCUGAGGAGACAUCCACUUGGCCUCUUGGGCAAAAGGACUUGAGAUUUUCAAAGAGGUUAAGUGGAUGUCUGGGCCCAACUCCAGCUGAAAUUUGGGUGUCUGCCUCUCUGUGGCUUGUCUGAAAAUCCCAGGCUAAUAUGUUUAGUGUUGUAGAAAUAUUCUGACUUCAAAAGAGCACGAUAUGCAACCAUAACCACUCAGGGGUUCUGAUGCUGAUAAUACAGUACUUAGAGGGGACUGUUCAUGCUAUCCAGGAUGAUAAUACCAGAAUUCACAAGAAAGAGCUGUGAGCCUCUAGCACUUACCAGCUGUAAUACCGAACAGAUUACACAGGAAAAUCAGGCAAAAAAAAGUAAUAUGCUUUCACCUCACAGCAAGAAACGCUGAAGUUCAGGAAGAGGAAAUGUGUAUUAAGAGAGCAGGUUAAAAAUCUACAUUAUCCCAGACUUUCAUGAAAUCAAAAUGAUAGGCACGAUGCUAAGUUAUUAUAAUGUAUUUAUUACCAGAAUUGCUUUCAUAUUUAACUGAUUUGGCCCAUCUUGAGACCUGUUUUAAAAUGCACCACCUUGUCCACCUUUCCAUUUUCAUAUGAAAAACAGGAAAGCAAAAACUAAUUUACUCAGGGAGACACACCGACUGUUUGCCCGUUUAUCUCUUACAGACCACCCCUCAGUCCAAUGUUGACAGUACAUGAUAUUCCAUUAAUCUGCCUAAUGAAAAUUUAACCAGUGUUAUAAACAAAUAAUUGGCUAUUAUCCUCUCAAAGAUCCCGAAUAAAUUACUUCUGCUUAUUUUUUUUCCUCUUCUCUCUCUCUAUCUUGUCCCCCCCCUUCUGCCCCCAUGAAAAAUCUGUCUUCUGAUUGAUGUUGAAAAAAAAAAAACAACCCUAUGGCUGCCAAUGCUACCACUGAAACCUGGGAUGGGCUUAAGGAGAUGCUCGAGGAGUGGUCCUGCCUGCAGUUCUUUAGGCAUGAUGCUUUUUGAAUGGGACCUGAGCAGUGCAGGCUGGGGCUCUGCUCACAGCCCAUCUCCCUGUGGCUCUGCAGUGCCUCCAAUUACAUCCCCAUUCCGUCUCUGAAGCCACACAGUCACAGUCACAUCUCUUUCCUCACCUCUUGUGCUGGUCUCUCAUUUUUCCUCCGGUGCACACGCACUGUGGCAGGGUAGGGUGUUUUCCCUUUAACAUCCAAACAGCGUGAACUGUAUCUUCAUUUAGAGCAAUUAAAGUGGAGAGGGAUUUUAAUGUAAUGAAUCAUCCAAGCAGUUAUUCAGUAAAUGCUACAAUGAUCCUUCUGUCACUGGCCAUGUGGUUCUGCCUGGAAAAGCGCUGGCUCCACUCCUCCUCCUUAUAGGUGACAGCAGGAUCCCAGCACCAGCACUGCCACAGCUUUGCACGAUGCCCAGCGUCCUGCACAGCAUCCCAGCACCCCAUCACAGCAUCUCCUCCAUCCUCACUGACCAGUUGGGCAGUGCAAAACCUCUGUACAAGCCAAGGGGGUGCACUGAGCUUCUGUUUACCACCUGGGAGAUGUGAAUCACAAACAGUUUUUCAGGAUUUCUCCCAAACACUUUGCACAGAUCCUUACCUCUCUUUUAGGCCGUUCUUCCUUGCUGAACCACCUCAGCAUUCACUGACACUUCAGUACAGAGCUGAAUAAUUAAUUUUUUUUUAAUUUUCCAUCCGAUAGAUGUACAGGCAGAAGAAAAAAAAAAGUCUAAAUAAAAAACCUUCCCAAUAUUUGGCAAAUCUGAAUAAUUAAUUUCAGUUUGGAGAUUCUUUUGUUUCUUUACUUUUAAUAAAAGGAAGGCGUUGGCUUCUCAGGAGAACUUGGCGCCAUUCAUAAAUCCAGCGAGGAGGUGGAGGAGGAGCAGUGGUUACACAGACUCUCCUCAGUAGGCCAACUGCUGGAGCUCAGCUCUCUGGAGGUUAUUGCCACCAUGGUAAGAAGAGCAGCAACCCUCUACAGCAAGAAGGUGCUCCUUCUCAACCUACUAUGGUCUACAGCCAAGUAUAUUUCACUUCUGGUGUCUUCUUAUAUAGCCAGGCCAUGAAGGUCUGUGCAUUUCAUCACCCCUGUUGUGGAACUUUGUUGUCAGCUUGCUGGAUGUGAGAAUGUGUUCACCAGAACUAGCGUGGAAAGAGGAAUCAUUUCUUCCUAAAGAAAAUUCCUAAAGAAGAAGAGCUGCUCUUACUGCUUGUCUGUUGAUUUGGGUUUUCCAUCUGUGUCUUUCCACAGCCAUGCUGUGCUGUCCCCAGAAUGGGCAGGAAAACUGGGACCCUCCCAUUUGGAGCAGGAAAAUGAGACGGAAACCAGCCCUGCAUUUAUCUGAAAGUGCUCAAAUUAAGGGUAGAAAUAAGAUUUCUACAAUAAUGACAAAUUAAUUCUUCCUUUCAUAAUUUUAUUAAAAUAAGCAUCUUCUAUCUUUUAACUAGACCUGACAUAUGCUUACAUAGAUACAACACACCAUGUAACCUAAUCUGCGAGCAAUCUUGAAGCAAUUAACUCCUUCUAAUCUUUAGCUAACAAAGCCCACCAUGCAAAAGGUCCCCAGAGAAUGGCACUCCAAAGGCCGCCCUAAGCUCCCUCCACUAUUCCUCUAUUAUUCGGUGUGCAGGAGCUCAUUGGGGUGCUCGGAGAGCAGGGAUUCGUUUGAAACAACAAAGAUGAAUCAUCACAGAUCAUAAGAUCUUCAUUAACUCCUUAUUUCUCUACUAAUUAACACAAAAGGAAUGACUUGAAUGGUUGACAGGCAGCGAAUGACCCACAGCUCAGUGGUUAAUAGGAUGCAAAUGAUGCCUAAUGAGGGUCUCUAGCUGCUGUCUGGGCAUCUGGCCUACUAUUUUUGUUGGGGAUUCAGAAUGGGCUUCAGAUGAAAACAGUUCAACCAAUAACAUCGGCUGCAGCUGAGUUCUUACCAAAGUUUAUGGAUUUAUGAGUCCAGUAUAAAUGAGAAUUAGCUUAAACCACUCAUCAACAGGUUUGCAUCCACACAAUGCAACUCCCGGACGAGAAGCCUGUACCUUUCCACGAGGCACAGCAGCCACAGUUCAAUAUUUUAAAGAUCUGUUGUUUGUUUUUUUUUUUUCCUUCAUACUGAAUGUAUGUUACUUUAUAAAUUCCUAGCAAACGGUACGCAAAGCAGACGGAUGCAGAAUAACACUGAUGCAGGCCUUUACAACAAUUCUUUUCAACUCUGUGUCCCCCUUUUUGGAUACAAAACAAACCUGGGUGCUCCAUCCGUUUCUCCAGAAGCUGCUUCCAGCUGAGGCUUUAAAACCCAUCACGGUUAAUUAGCAGGCUGCCGUGACGAGACAGUGCUGCCGGCACCUCCAGCAGCCCCUCACCCCCUCCUGGAAUCUUUCUGAGCAGUCUUAAGUUGAGCUUUGGAUUCAGUCGCUUCUGUGGGAUCCUAUCCCCAGCCCCUCACCCUGCUCCCGGCAGCACCCCCGCACCAACAGCACUGCUCUCCUGAUGCUGCAGGGCUGGGAAAUGGCGUCAGAACAAGGGAGUGCUCCUAUCUCUGAAGAUUCUUGUACAAAUUUGGUUUAUCUUUUCUUCUUUCUGCAUUAAAACCAAGAGAACAGGCUUGCUAUUGAGUUGCUAUUAUUUGAAAUACUGCCUUUCAUUCUCCUAGCCAAGCGCUGAGCAUGACCGGGAAGUGAAAUAGAUCUGAAGGACUUGAAAUGAGAAGUGAAAUCUAUUUUCAUUAUGGAGGUGGAUUAAUAUGUAAAAAAUAAAUGGAGUCACUUAUUGAAAAAUAUAAAAUUGGAAUGCAAUGAUUUUCUUCCCAAACUAUAAAUCGUUGUACUCCUUUGACAAAGGCAAACAUGGAAUAUGUUCCCGGGUCCUGGUUUUGAAACAUAAUAGUUUCCACUUUGUUUUGUUCAAAGACAUUUGAGCAGAAAAUGCCUUUUCUUUGCUGUAAGCUGUACGGAAUAAAGAGGAAAAAUCCUAUUCACACUCCCUGCUUUACCUACGAGCUGUCUCUGCACACCGCUUACGUUUCCUAUUACUGUCAGCGAGCAUCCAGGAAGUGUCAGCCUAAGACCAUUCAGCCAUACAUCAUCCCACCCCACUGGAUGCCUUCCAUGUGGAGCCGAGAAGCAGAGUGUGCAAGUACUGCUGUGCAAUAGGCAUGCAGAAGCAUCACCUUUGCUGGACAUGGGCUGCUCAUCCCGAGGCACUUAAAGGAUUAACGAAAUGAAAUUGUUUUUGGACUUGCUGCACUCUUGCUUAUCUUUUAAAUCCAUAAUGUCCCACAGAAGGCAAAAUGUAGUAAUUUUAGUCAGCAGCCUCUCAUUAAUUUUCUACCUUUGGGGGAACAUACGUUUAUAGAAAGAAGGGUUGUGUGGAGGCUGAGCUCAUCGCAUCACUUUGCACUUGAAGAGCUCAGCAUGGCACAGAGGAGACAGGAAUGUAACAUGCCUCAAAUUAAGGCUUUCUCAGGCUGGAUGCGUAUCUGCAGACAAACCUAUCUUCAUACACGUAUAUUUUAUAUACUUAUAUGUAUUUAUACACACACGUAUAUACAAACCUAUAGAGUCAUCAGUUUUGAAGAUAAUCUUUUAGGUUAAGUAUUUUCCCACAUUAAACUGAUAAUUAUCCCCUCCUUUUCUUUCUCUGUCCCCAGACACCAAACAAGCUGGAUUUUUGCUUCAUGUAUUAUUUAUGGCGUGGAAUUAAUAUGCAGAUUCACAAAAACUUAAAAACUCAUAAUUAUUCAUAAAGGGCUUUAAGGUUAUUUAGUACAUAUUUAUGAAACUUUAUGUUUGCUAGGAACUGUGUUUGAAAGUGCUAUGGAAGGGUGUUGACUGAGGUUAAUUACUAGCAUGGAGAGUAAUCUGAAAAUGAUCAAACUCUUUGAAUGAAAAUAUUUGUCAGUAUUUCUGAUCUAUAUUUAAGUGAAGUAAUGGACAUCAAUAGCCUCGCAAAUAUAUUCAGAAAUGGCUCUGCAAGAAAGGAGAUUUGCAUAUCUAAUGCAAACAACCAAUGAGGAAAAAUGUCUAGUUAGACACCUUUGAUCGCUCAGCAAAUGUAAUAAAUGAUAGAGAUUUAUCCUGCUUGUUGUCCAUCCGUGUUAUGUUGAGUUAUGUUCUUAUACAAAUAUGCUCUCAUCUAGAAAAUAUUAGCACUGAUUUAAGGUAGCCAGAAUCCUCCCCUCUUUUCUGGAAUAGGGCUCAGAAAUUAGGUGUGAGCUGUUUGUGAUAGCCCAGGUUUCUGCAGAAGUUACUUAGGGUAAGUACAGGCUGUAUGUAAAUAAUACAUUAUAUUGGUUUUAUAUUUACAUAACUCUUUCAAUCUUAUGCAUAAUUGACUUUCUUUCUAAUCCAUUGUGUGCAAAGGUUGAAAACCUAUAAAAUAUGCCACGGGUUACGCUGUAGCAAACAAGCAGCACUGGCAGCAAUUGAAGAAGGCAAGAAACACCCAAAAUAUAAUUACAGCUCUGUUCCUACCAAGAGAUAUAAAUAUGCUUAAGUUUACGACCUUGACUGGUCCUGUGACACGUGCACGUGAGCUGUGGUCAGUAGCAGUAGUCGUAUCUCAGCACAGGACACCUAGUGCUGAGUGUCUAGAGUCUGGAGUGGCUCUAGAGACACUGUUCAUGCUCAUCCUUUGGUGUUUGAAGGCAUAGGCAUCGCGAUGUUUUGUGCUCAUUUACAAGGAUUCGGUCAUCUCCUUUAGUCUACAGGUAAAUGUGCUUACAUCCCCAGACAGGCUACAUAACCAUAUACCCUUGGUUAUAUGAGCAGCUCUGUCACAGCUCAAGUAGGUUGCUCUUUGGGGGCUGUAGGUAUAACAACAGUAUUCAUGAGCGCAGACCACCUUUCCAACAAAGGUUGCUGGAAAUACAGAUUGGUGUCACGUUCUUUCAUCCUUGGCUUGGUUCUGAUGGUGCAAUGGGCUUUGUCAGCAAUUGCUGAUGCUGUGUCUCCUCGGUGGUCUCCAGCAAGACUCUGCUUGGUGCUCGGGAUUUCACUUUCCCUGCCCUCCUCUACAGGUGGGUUUGCCUGGUUCACUCUCUGCAGCACAGUGGAUCCAAAUAGCAGGAGGCAAGUGCAUGACAUCUGCAACCACUGGUGUGAAAGAUUCACCUUCUUUAUUAACACUGAAACUGGAAAGAUGAAAUAUUAGCAUGACAAGAGCCAACGAUGGUUGUAUUUCUGCUGUUAAGGGAGAUUGUUAAAAAAAAAGGUGGCAUUGCUGCAGGGAUCAGGUUGGGUAUCCUGGGAUUCCUCAGCCGCAUCUCUAGGGGCACAUGGGAGCCCUGAGUCCAUCAGCACCUUUGCUUCUUCAUCCUAGCUCUGCCUCCUGGGGGCCGGCUCUGUAUCUCAGUUCCAUUCUGGGCUAAAAUCACAUAGUGCAGGUCAAAUAACCAAGCCUGGGCCUCUCUGUUCUGCCCCAGCCCUAUUCUCAGUCUCUGGAGCACAGCUAUCGGGAUGGGUCCAGGAGGGCAGGGGGACAGCUGAGCCCUCAGCAACACAGGGACCAUCAGACGGUCUCUUUCUCGAGCUCAUCAUGGAGCAGCAGUCCCUGUCAAAGAUAUUUUGAAAUAAAUGGAACAAUAAUAUAGCCAUAAUAGUUGCCCUAAGUGCAAUGACU
ensembl:lncRNA